rnacentral:lncRNA from 1 species
UCUCCAUUUCUGACUCUUCUGAUAACAGAAUUUAUACACAUUUUCCUAAAUGAUAUCAUCAGCUAGAAAGUCCAGGGCUGGGCCGUCCACUUUCUAAAAUAAAGAUACAGAUACAAAUACAACCAGUCUUGGGCUUUUGUUUUAUGUAUCUUUCUCUUUUCCUUCUAUUUUGGAUAUCUAGUUCUUGGAGUGCUGGUAUCAUUUCCAAAUAUAAUUUUUCUUAUACUUUGACUAUCAUAAUUUGAUAUUAAAGAGACCUCUUCAAUAAUACACUUUAAAAAAUGCUUUUAGAAGCAUUUGAGGAGGCUAAUAAAAAGAAGACACAUUGCUUGUCCUGAGAGAGCAUAAACAGUACCUCAGGUGACACUGGUAAACUUUUACAGGCAAUGAUUUUGUUCUCUCCUUGCAAGGGUGUCUAAUCCAGGGGUAGAUUAUGCUGUGAAAGAGGCCUUCCCACUAAAUGCCCGUGAGAAGGUUAUCCAUUUAAGAAGAACAUCAAAGGUGAACUCGAUCAACACACCUCAAGACAAAAGAUUCAAGCAUGGCAGAUUCAAAGCCUCCAUCUGUUGGGCCCCAAAGUGGAUUGUUUACUCUGACCAUAUGAACAGAUAAUCCCUUUCACUCAGAAUGUUGAACACUGCUUAGGGAAAGAGGCAUAUUUGCACUUGACAGAGAACUGUCAGAACAGGUCUUCAGGGACUCAGGCUGAACAUGGGGGAAGAUUCCUCUAGUACACGGAGUACUUAGAGUAAGUACCAUCACUGCCUAUGUCUAGGCAUCUAUUCCCGAGCCAACCUAUGCAUCGACAGUUGAUCUCACCUUGAGAUCAACACCUUGAACAGUUGAUC